GAUGAACGCUGGCGGCGUGCCUAAUACAUGCAAGUCGAGCGAAUGGAUUAAGAGCUUGCUCUUAUGAAGUUAGCGGCGGACGGGUGAGUAACACGUGGGUCACCUGCCCAUAAGACUGGGAUAACUCCGGGAAACCGGGGCUAAUACCGGAUAACAUUUUGAACCGCAUGGUUCGAAAUUGAAAGGCGGCUUCGGCUGUCACUUAUGGAUGGACCCGCGUCGCAUUAGCUAGUUGGUGAGGUAACGGCUCACCAAGGCAACGAGGCGUAGCCGACCUGAGAGGGUGAUCGGCCACACUGGGACUGAGACACGGCCCAGACUCCUACGGGAGGCAGCAGUAGGGAAUCUUCCGCAAUGGACGAAAGUCUGACCGAGCAACGCCGCGUGAGUGAUGAAGGCUUUCGGGUCGUAAAACUCUGUUGUUAGGGAAGAACAAGUGCUAGUUGAAUAAGCUGGCACCUUGACGGUACCUAACCAGAAAGCCACGGCUAACUACGUGCCAGCAGCCGCCGCGG
rnacentral:rRNA from 1 species